rnacentral:rRNA from 1 species
GCACCGGCUAACUCCGUGCCAGCAGCCGCGGUAAUACGGAGGGUGCAAGCGUUAAUCGGAAUUACUGGGCGUAAAGCGCACGCAGGCGGUCUGUCAAGUCGGAUGUGAAAUCCCCGGGCUCAACCUGGGAACUGCAUUCGAAACUGGCAGGCUAGAGUCUUGUAGAGGGGGGUAGAAUUCCAGGUGUAGCGGUGAAAUGCGUAGAGAUCUGGAGGAAUACCGGUGGCGAAGGCGGCCCCCU